CUCCUGGAAAAGGGUGGUAAUGCCGGAUGCUCCAGUUGAUCGCAUGGUCUUCUGGGAAAGCUUUCGCGGUAUGGGAUGGGGUCGCGUCCUAUCAGCUUGACGGCGGGGUAACGGCCCACCGUGGCUUCGACGGGUAGCCGGCCUGAGAGGGCGACCGGCCACAUUGGGACUGAGAUACGGCCCAGACUCCUACGGGAGGCAGCAGUGGGGAAUAUUGCACAAUGGGCGCAAGCCUGAUGCAGCGACGCCGCGUGAGGGAUGGAGGCCUUCGGGUUGUAAACCUCUUUUAUCGGGGAGCAAGCGAGAGUGAGUUUACCCGUUGAAUAAGCACCGGCUAACUACGUGCCAGCAGCCGCGGUAAUACGUAGGGUGCAAGCGUUAUCCGGAAUUAUUGGGCGUAAAGGGCUCGUAGGCGGUUCGUCGCGUCCGGUGUGAAAGUCCAUCGCUUAACGGUGGAUCCGCGCCGGGUACGGGCGGGCUUGAGUGCGGUAGGGGAGACUGGAAUUCCCGGUGUAACGGUGGAAUGUGUAGAUAU
rnacentral:rRNA from 1 species